UGGAGGAAAGCAGGGGAUCGCAAGACCUUGCGCUUUUGGAGUGGCCGAUGCCUGAUUAGCUAGUUGGUGGGGUAAUGGCCUACCAAGGCGACGAUCAGUAGUUGGUCUGAGAGGACGACCAGCCACACUGGGACUGAGACACGGCCCAGACUCCUACGGGAGGCAGCAGUGGGGAAUUUUGGACAAUGGGCGAAAGCCUGAUCCAGCAAUGCCGCGUGAGUGAAGAAGGCCUUCGGGUUGUAAAGCUCUUUCAGUCGAGAAGAAAAGGUUGUGACUAAUAAUCACAACUCAUGACGGUAUCGACAGAAGAAGCACCGGCUAACUACGUGCCAGCAGCCGCGGUAAUACGUAGGGUGCGAGCGUUAAUCGGAAUUACUGGGCGUAAAGGGUGCGCAGGCGGCUUUGUAAGUCAGAUGUGA
rnacentral:rRNA from 1 species